UUUAUGUUGCUCGGCUCGAACAGCGAAAGCGCUCGCCAAAGCUCGAGCUCCCGGCGUUCUAAGCCUCGCAACAUAAACUUCUCUGUAUUCAACGCUAACCUAGUAUUCUCUAUUUAUACAUCGAUGGAAAGAGUAAAAACAAACCUAAAUGAAAAUGUUAUUAUAAAAUGCGAAAAAGGAAGUGUCGGGUUAAUAAAGAGAUGGUUUUUCGAAAUGACGCAGAAAAAAAUGCGUGUAAUGCGUAAGAAAUAUCUAGAUAGCGAAGUUAUUUGCUGAUUAAUCCUAUUUCAUAUGUUUUAAAAGUUAUUGAGCAGCUGAAUCCGAUAAUAUGGUCCCUUUGUAAAUUGAACGUACGUAAAUUAUGUUAUUAUUUCUUUGAAAAUGUAUAGUCGUCAUGUAAUGGGCGUUCAAAACUUGAAAACUUUUUCCGGGUACAAAAUUCAAGCAUUUAUAUCCAUUUGAAAGGAAUGAAUGAUUCUAUAAGCAGUGGUGAAAAGUUCUUUGUUCAAUGGAAAUAUCUAUAUAUGAUCUAUAAGGUAAUUAAUUUAGUAUUUGUUGAUAGUUGACCGCCGAAAAUGUCUAGCCACCGUGUAAUGCUUGCAUUUUUGACGUUUGAGACCCUGACGUUAAAAAUGAAUUGCGUUGUUUUUUCAAUACAAAGCCCUUUUUAAAGUCAACGCGUUAGAAUAAAGAAAUUCUGUUUCAUAAGUUGUAAAAGUACACGAAAAACUGAAAUAAAAGUAUUGGUUUAAUAGGUAAAAGUAACAUCUUGCCGAUAAAAGAUGACACAAUGAAAUGCUUAUUUUGCGACUUGCAUUAUACAGACAUAGAUAUAUAAAAUUGUGUGAACAUUUUACUAUAUUUUUUGUUUGUUUGUAGUUUCCUUUAUGAAGUUACUUAGCAAUAUUUUUAAAUACUCACAUUUGAAUAACCUAAACCUCCCCCUAAUCUCCCGAGCCAUUAGUGUUCUACACAAUUUGAAAUGAAUUGCGCGACUCUGUCGGGUAUUGAACCCGCGUCCCCCGUGCCCGAGGCAAACUUUAUACAACUGAACCAUCGCGGUCGAUUACUAAAAAAUGAUUAUAUGCAUGCAUUUUGUGUGUUUAAGAUGCAGUUUAGAUCAAACGCAGAAAAAGCCAGUACUAUAAAAAAAAGAAAAAGAGAAAAAGAAAGAGAAAGAAAAUUAAAACAUUACCGAAACAAUAGUGACAAAAUUAACUCGCCAAAACGGGAAAACAGAUUAGGCAUCCCUAUUCCUGCAACAAGAGCUCGGUCAGAAUGGAUGAGAUGGAAAACACCGCAGACCUCAUAACAGAAGGAUACACUGUGGCCGUCGUUGCGGCGGAUGAAAAUGAUGAUUACUUCUUGUUAAAGGUAUCUCGUUCUCCAUACACAUUGCGAGCAGAGGGUACAGAUGACUGGGGUAAUACUUUCCCGAAAGGAGCACGUGUUGUAGGAGGUUAUUACUACAAAUCGACAGAGUCCGCCUUUAAGAUCGUUAAGAGGAAAAAAGCCCUUGUGUAUUCGCUGGCGGUUUGUUACAUUUUGGACGAGAAAGACAAAAACAGAAGUAUUAGCGUAGAUGAGAACCUCCACCAAGACAUUCUGAACAGUUUGAACAUUUUAGAUGUUUGAUGAUAACAAUAAUUUUAGACAGAACAAAACAGAAAUUUGAUUCAUUAAUGAUAAGUAUUUACGAAUUGUUCGUCAUCGCAUCCAAAGCCAUUUGAAGCUUAUACCGUACUAUUUAACUACACUAAAAUUUUUAAUUAAUAAAUAACUUAAUCUGAACCCAACCAUUGUCACCUUUGAUUGACAAUGUAUACUUUUUUGUUGCGGGAGUUAUUAUUAUACAUGCGUGGUGAGUUGAUAAAUAUCUGCUGUUUCUUGUGUUUAUAUGUGAAGCUGUGAAAUUUCAAAUUAUGUAACUGUCUAGAACUUUGUCGGUCCGUGUAAUGUACAUGUAUUAUUAAGUUGGGUGCAUUAUGUAUAUUAUGUUAUGUCAUGUCUUUCUUAUAAUUAUGUUGAUGUUAAUAAGCAACUAAAUGCUGUAUCAGUAUGUAGCCUCGUGUAGUUCUUCACAGAACAGACAUUCUUUUCAUAACACAUAUGAUACUUUUAUGUGCAAAUUGUUUUAUUAACUUUGUAAAUUUGCACAAGACUGAAAUAAAUAGAUAAGUUGAUGUAUUUCAGUGCGUCCAGACCACCGUUACUAAUCAAGACAGUGCAGAUAAUCAAGAUAAUUAGGUUGUGUCGUGUUCUGAGAAAACUGGGCAUAAUGGCAUGCAUGUGCGAAAAGUGUAGUCCCAUAUGAGCCUGUGCAAUCCGCAUAGGCUAAUCAGGGACGACACUUUCCGCCUUAACAUGAUUUUCGGUAAGGAGGGACUUCCUUGAAACUAAAAAUACCACAAAAGCGGAAAGUGUCGUCCCUGAAAAGCCGGUGCGUACUGCACAGGCAAAUCUGGGACGACACUCAACGCACAUGCAUUAAGCCCAGUUUUCUCAGAACACGGCUCACAUGAUCUCACCACAUAGUGUUUGCCUCGCAUAGUUGUUACAAACAUUAUACAUUCAUUUAUAAAAUCCCUUUAAUCACUUAAGAUAAAAUAGUCAAUUAAACAGUAAUUGUAAAUAGAUAAAGGAUGUUUCAGUUAAAUAAGAAAUCUAGUUGUCCUGCAACCUGUCUCCAAAACAAUAUUUAUCUCGUCGAAAAGAUAUAUAAAUUCUGCGUGUUUUGAUAUGUAAGCUUUAAAAUUCGGAAGAAUAACUGCCACAUAAAAACAAAAAGAAUCAAGAGUCAACGGCUAAAAAUACACCUUAACGUCAGCAUUUAUUUUCCGCAUUUUUGACGUUACGUAACUUUACGCCAGUACUGAGCGCGACGUCAACAUUGAAUUGUUAACCUUUGAAUUACACGAGAGAACACCAUAUGAUGGCACGAUAUUGCAAUAUCGCGAUUUGGCAUUGAAAACUUGCGCCAUCGCAUAGUUUUUGAGAUUUCGAUAUUUGUUUAUUUCGUUAUUGAUCACGAAACGUUUUUUUCGUAAUCACACUUUGUGUUUUCACAUGGGCAACCUUUGAAAUAUUUCUCGAGAAUACGCGAAAACGUGAUUCAAGGCACAAUAUCAAGAUGCGAUACAAUGAGGACAUUAUGGGGUAACGUGAGAUCAUGGUAUUUUAUUUGGUCUAUUUUCUAUUUCCGCAAAUUUUUUUCCGGUUACUUAUGAGCAGACACAACAUUAACAUCCCGCACCAACAAUAUCACAUUUUGCAAUCCGGAAACCAGACUUUUUUCCGUAGUAAUUUACGCAAGCCAUUUUAUAUUGGUUCUCUGUCAGCUAAACACAUAAUCAUGCAAGAAAGAUCACAACAUCGCUCGUUGCAUUCACAAGCAAUAAAGUAAAAUGCUUUUAUACAGGCAAUACUAAUUAAAAGAAAGAGUAGUAUUUAGAAAGAAUAAACAGUUCAAUAUAAUCAAAAUAUGUAGAAGCAAAACAUACACACUCAAAGAAGCGAUAUUAAUGAAGAUACUGAUGAUUAACUUUACAAAGCAUGAAUGAUAAAUUAUAAUGUAGCCGAAAUCACAAGCAAGUUAAUUACACAAGAUUGAAAAUUUACUUUAAGAAGCACGCAUGAUGAAUUAUUAAGUAACAAGUUAAUUACACAUGCUUCCACAAAGCAGUAAGCAGGUUUUGGCGUAUAAACCGUCUAUACAAAUGUGUUCCCAUGUGUAUGUUUGUCAGACUAUGUUAACUACACGUUUAGAACCCCUAAAAUUGUAUUGUGUACGUAUUCUGAAUUAAUCUCCUAAAAUACAACCUGUAUCUUUUACUUCAGCUCUGUCGUCAAGGUGUGUGUGUGUGCGAUGAGCUGGCACCAGCAGUACCAGACGACUGUCCUCAGGGCGAUGUUCAUGGUAUUGCUGCUAAUGAUAAGGAAUGCACAGCGCUGAUAGGCGAUGAUACAUACUUCUGUUACCAAAGUGCCGGAUACAAACCAUGCUGUGAAACAUGUAGCAAGUAUUACAUUGGAAUCGAAGGUUGCGAAUACGGCGAUCGCAUUAAAUCGUGUAUGAAAGACGAUUGUCCAAGAUACGACGCACAAACUGUAAACUUAUGUUGCGAUACAUGCGCCAACGACACAGAUAAAGUAGCGUUUGCUGUAGCGGCUAGUUCAUGUGUCUUCACUACACCAACACCUACAACCACUCCGUUCCCUUCGUCGUCGUCAGAAAGAUCGGAGCAAGUUCACCCCACUUCGCCGCUGUCAGAAACAUCGGAUCUCAGCCCCUCCCCGUCAUCUCCGUCACAAAAAUCAGACGCUUUUUAUAUACAAGCUGCAACAUUUGUGGCAUAUCUAUCAAUUGUGUGGACAGUUGUUGUGUAUGCGUUUUGAGAAUCGAUCGCCUCAAGGUACACUAUGGACAAGAUAGCGUUGCAGUGUUUGGUCUAUUGCGCUUAUUUAUUAAUAUGCAAAUCGUCUUUAAACAUUUACUUUGCCAUUAGCGAUAUGUGUCAGUUUAUGUUAAACAUUACAGAUUUUAAAAUUUAAAGAAUUAUAUUGAUAUAUUGACGCAUAUACAUUGAACGUUAAGGUUGUAUCCUUCCUAUUGCUUGAUUGAUUGAUUUAGUAUAUUAUAAAUAUAUGUUAGAGCAUUUACACAACCACAUAUACAAAUAAACCGUUCUUAUCCAAUUACUGUGUGAUGAAAUAAGAACUAAGACCUUCACACUUAUUUUGACGUUCAACUAAAAGAAUUAAAUAAUGCAUAUCAAUCUGAAACAACUUGUCAUUACCCACAUAUUUUAUGAACGGCGCUUUUUGGAAAUCAAGCAUACACACGUGGCCUUGUAUUAUGCCAUGUAUAUGUUAUGUUGAAAAUAAUAAUUUGAUCGGUAUUGAACCAUUCAAUAUUACAUACUCACAAGCAAACUAUGUUAACUAUGUAAAUAAAUUGAAACAACGAAAUAUGUUAAUUGUAAAAUUAAGAUAAAUUUCUUAUUUAUCUUUGUGGAAGUCUGUAUCAUGUAUUGUUAAAAUUCCUGCAUGAAAUAAACCAUUUUACUUCAA